GCCAAGCUGAUGGACUGCCAGGUCUACUCACCCUGGGCACAGGAUACUCCAAGUCAUAUGACACCCAUCAGCUCUGGAAGGGACUGCUCCGCUUCAUCAGGAUGCAAGAGAUGUAAGGUCCAGGCGGUUUGCGUCUAUUCUGUGUAAUGUUAGUUUGAAAUAAAUAUUAGCUGACAACACCUAAAAUCAA